UUUGUCAUUUCACCUAGAUAAUUCACAAAGAGCCAAGGACAUCACAAAGAGUAUUGCCAUGAUGAUCGUGAAGGACCUACAACCCCUCUCUGUGGUUGAACAGGAGGGUUUCAAGAAUUUAAUAAAGACACUUGAUCCCCGCUACAGGAUGCCAAGUGAUUUCUCACGGCAGCUAGGAGCACACACAGGGAACAAGUGGAGCAAAUCCGCUUUCUUCUCGUUCUCCAAACCAGCAGACAGUUGGCAGUAUGUGGUUUAUAGACCUGGCAGGAAGUGAAAGGGCAUCAGACACCAAAAAAACAAACAGACACAGUCGCAUAGAAGGAGCUGAGAUCAACCAAAGUCUCUUAGCAGUAAGCUAAGUAAGUGAUAUGUUAACACACACAAAGAGCUCAAAUACAGAAACAAAGGUCAUUGUAUUUACCUUUUAUUUGUUUAAAGCUCAAAGAAUUGUAGGUGCAAUGGGUCGAGUGCUGCUUAGGAGCACUCGGUGUUA